rnacentral:pre_miRNA from 1 species
AAUAAGUGUUGUUUUGCACUAUUCACGUUUAACGUUUGACCGUUCGUCUUAUUUGAAAACUUUUUAUGAUUAGUAUUUUUAUUACUAUUAGAUGAUAAAACAUGAAUAGUACUUUAUGUGCGACUAAAUAUUUUUAAAUUUUUUAAAUAAGACGGACGGUCAAACAUUGGACACGGAUAUCUAUGACUGUACUUAUU